rnacentral:lncRNA from 1 species
UUUUUUUUUUUUUCUUUUUCUUCUUUUUUGCUGUGCCCACAGCAUAUGUAAGUUCCCACUCUGGGAACUGAACCAAAGCAAUGGCAGCGACCCAAACCACUACAGUGACAACGGCAAAUCCUUAACUCGCUGAGCCACCAGAGAACCUCAAAAACUUUUUAACUCUAUAAACUUUUUUUGUCUAGUUCACUAAAGAAUCUAUAGCAUCUACAGACUUGAAACCUGAUCUCAUCACUUACUCCAACUAGAUGUCUUCAGCUUUCUAGGUAUAUCUAACCAGUUAUACUCUCACUGACUCAGCAGCUUGUUCGAAUAGUCAGAGAAGAACUGACAUGAUGCUGAUGAAGCUUAAGCUUCAGGACUCCUAGUGCCUGGGCCCCAGGAGUGCUGGGAGUCACUGGGAGUCAGUGGUCUAGGUGAGAGGAGACACUGAGCAUUUCCAUGUAAGCAUUUCUAGUAAAGAAAUCAUGACAGAAAGGGAAACAAAUCAUCUAACUGAAUCAUUGAAACAAAUACCUUUCGUGUUUUAAUUUUUUAUUCAUAAUUUUUUAUUCUUUUUCUUAAAGAUGACUCCGUGAAUUGUACAAUCGUCUGAUCCCACAAAACCUGAAUCUGCCCUAAUAGAGGCAGAUAUAAGUAAUAAUAGAGGAAGGCACGUAUAAGUACUUCUCUACUUUGUACCCUUCAUUGUUUAAGUAUUCAACCUAUUAGUUAAACUCCUGGUCUUUAAAAAUACAAAAUAAAGACAGAGGGGCUAGAGAAAAAUGCUUUUAAAAGUACAUCUUUAAGACUGCUGAUUUCCUUAUGCAUUUUCUAAUAACAAAAAUAUGAAAUAAAAUGAAAACUGUUGAACUUUUGGCCCUUUGACAUUUCUCCUCAACAACCUAAAACUUUCAAAUGGAUGGGAUAUCCAGCUUCUGAAAAGGAGUAUGUAUUAUUACAGCUCCCCACAAUAUCAAGCCUAACUGGAUUUUUUUUUUUUUGUCUUUUUUUUAGGGCUGCACCCAAGGCAUAUGGAGGAUCACCUGCUUGAUUUGAAUCAUUAAAAUUCUAUGUGCUACAAGCAAAAGAAUAAAAGGUAAUGCUUAUAAUAGUGCUAACUGGUAUUUAUUGAGCAUUAAGGUGUUGCCAGAGACCAUGUUCAAUUCCCUGUGUCACUGGACUCCUUCCAACAAUCAUCAGUGAGAGGUGCUAUUGUUAUUCUCAUUUGCAGAGGUUUAUUAAGGCUAAGAAACACACAUCCUCCACAGUCUUAGCCACUGCAACACACUGCUGGAAAGAAAGGCUUAACUUGGUUUUGAUGAGAGUGGGAAGGGGUGGUGGGAAUGAGAGAUGUUCUAUUCAAGAAAAUUAUUAUAUGUUUGACCUCCCCAAAGAAGGUUAUCCCGUGUACAGUCUGACAUGUAAGACAAUCCUAUAUGUAACAUGGCAUUGAAAGAGAAAAUUUUAUGGAAUCUUUACACAGAUAAGCAAUUAAAUAUAAAAAGAUAGAAAUAUUAAGAUAUAGCCUUAGGUUUCAAAAUACUCUAGCUUCCAUUUAAUUAGUCAAUUACAAGAGGUUAUCCACUAACCUGUACAAGAAUAAACCUUAGGGAGUACAUUUCUAACAUGACCUUUGGAAACUUAAUAUCCAAAAAUCUUACAAUUUUAUCUAUUAGGAUAUAAGUGAGUUAUUCCAUGUAAAUCACUGUCAAAUUUGCACAUGCAAAUUGUGUGGCUGAACUAGUCAGUGAUAAUUAAAUGGCACCAUUUUUUCCUAUCCAUGAAAACACCCAGACAUCUUAAAUGGCCAGUUAACCAAUCCAGUCUUACAAUUCUAUGGCACUUUAAAGUUUCCAAAAUAUUUUCCAUCCUAUGGUUUUGCUUAACACCAAUGACCCUAUAUUCUCCUUUAAACACCAAAAAAUUCCAAAUUUAUGAACAUAAGGUUAAGCAAAAGAUAUCAUAUGCAAAGGAGUCCGUACUAUAAAAUUCCAUUUCUAUAAAAUUCAAAGCCAUGGCAAAGCCAAUUUGUGAUGUUAGAGUCAAGAUAGUGGUAGCUAGGUCGGGAGCAAGGUAGUAAUUGGAAGAUGCUAUGUGAAAGUCAAGUCCUAUAUCUUAUUCUGAAUGCUAGUUCCCUGAGUGUGACCACUUUGUGAAAAUUUACCAAUAUGUAUAUUACGGAUGUGCAAGUGUACAAAUCCUACAUGUUAAACUCAUAUCAAAAGCUGACACAAAACAAUCAUUCUCUUCCCUCAGCAGCUUGCCAAUUAGACCUAGAAGAACAUACACACCAGGCAAGAGAGUGGGCAGUCUGAAAACACAUAAAAGUUUGACUUUGCAAACUAAGGAGCUGCUGCCAGUCUUUCUAGAACCUCUUAGCUUUCCUUUCCCUCACAGCAUCAAACAAUUCAUAUAGGAAUCCACUGUACUAAUUCCUGUAAUGGAAGUGUGAGGAGGCUCAUACAUAGGUGAUUAUAAUUGUGCCUUACAAAUCCAGAAAAUGUUUGCUGGGAUUUAGGCCUCUGACAGCUCAGUGAGCAAUUUAGAGCAACAUAGUGAACUUUGACAGCAACAGCUCAUUAACAAUUGCAUUUCAAUGUAAACACUUGAUACAUUUUUAGAAACACCACCGGCUGAUUAGGUUCAUUUCACUUUAGUCAGAAGACAGUCUGUUAAAUAGAUUUUUCAUUUUUCUCUCCCAAUAAUCAAUUCAUUAAAUAGUAAGUUAAAUGUUUUCAUUUUCUGUUUACAUAAAUAUGAAAUGUGAAGACAAUGAGGGUCCUACAUCAGUUUCUCUUAUCCAAAUCAGAUUCCAAUCUUUAGGAAAAACAGUUUUUAACUCUGUUUUGCAAGUCUUCCAAGACUAAAAUACUAAGGUUAUGCCUGUGCAGCUGUCUAGAUAAAAACUGAUGCUAUUCCAAAUAACAAUUGAUUUGCUGUUAAUCAAAUAACUGUUGAUUUGGUCCCUAAAAGUAAUAAGCAAUCUACUAGUUGAUUCAAUCUUUCCUUGAAGCUAGACCACAGGAACUAUGGGACAGUUACCUUACCAGUGAUGUUAACAGCUACACCCAGCACUGAGCAGUUAUAGACAGAGCAUUGGAACUGAUUACUGAAUGACUCACUUUACAAAGCUUGAUGACAAAUGGGGGGUGGUUAAUGAUAGUUACCACUUUAGGCCUGACUUUCUUUAAGUUAUCACUGUAUUAUUAUUUUCACAAGACAUAUGCAUUUCAAGUAAGUUUAUUUCCACAAUUUUUUCAAAAGUUUGGAUUUAUUUUGCUUUGCUCAUACCAAAUACAAGGAAAGUGAAUAAUAUGAAGUUAAAAUGAUAUUCUUACCUUUACAAAACAACUUUUGGUGACACAGCAGCCUAAUUAAAUUAUACUAAAACCCCAACCAAGUAAUGACUAAGAAUAAUAAUAACCUAUUUCCCUUUCCUUUUUUUUUCUGUGUCUUGCUCAUCAACAAUCACGAACUUUUUUUUUUGUCUUUGUGCCGCUUCUAGGGUCACUCCCACGGCAUAUGGAGGUUCCCAGGCCAGGGUCCAAUCAGAGCUGUAGCCCCUGGCCUACGCCACAGCCACAGCAACGUGGGAUCGGAGCCGCAUCUGCGACCUACACAGCUCAAGGCAACGUCGGAUCUUUAAUUCCCUGAGCCAGACGGGAACUCCAACAAUCAGGAACUUUUAACCAAUAAAUAGACAAACACAUACGUGUGUAGUUAACAUCCUCCCCCCAACAUUACUUUGUGUAGUAACAUCCUCCCCCCAACAUUAGGAAAAAAUGCUUUUAAAAAAAAUGAUUUCUUUAGGAACAAGCAAUCUUUCUGAUAAUUCCAUGAAGCAAACAACCAAGUAAAUAUACUGUGGGACUAGAAAAGAAAUUAUCCAGAAUCACAGGGCAGAAAAGAGCCCAAGAUGUCACGUGAAGUGUCAUGUGCACAUUACUAGCAAGUUUCAUUUAAUUCCACCAUCUUUUUCUUUUUUUUUUUAAUUGAAGUAUAGCUAAUGUUGUGCUAGUUUCAGGUCUGCAGCCAAGUGAUUCGGUUAGAUAUACAUUAUUGUUUAGAUUCUUUUCCAUUAUUUAUUACAAAAUAUUGAAUACGAUUCCCUGUACUAUACAGGAGGACCUUGUUGUAUAUCUAUUUUUACAUACUGCAUUUUGUAUCUGCUAAUCUCAAACUUCUAAUUUAUUCCCCUCCCUUCCUUUCCCCAUUGGUAACCAUAAGUUGUUUUCUAUGUCUGUGAGUCUAUUUUGUUUUGUAAAUAAGUUCAUUUGUACCAUGUUUUUAGAUUCCGCAUAUAAAUGAUAUCAUAUUUUUCUUUCUCUGACUUACUUCACUUAAUGUGAUAAUUUCUAGGUCCAUCUAUGAUGCUGCAAAUGGCAUUAUUUCCUUCUUUUUAGUGGCUGAGUAAUAUUCCAUUGUGUAAAUAUAGCAUAUCUUUAGCCAUACAUCUAUCAAUGGACACUUAUGUUGCAUCCAUGUCUUGGCUAUUGUAAAAAGUGCUGCUAUGAUCAUUGGGAUGCAUGUUUGUUUUUGAAUUAGAGUUUUCUCCAGAUAUAUGAUCAGGAGUAGGAUAGCUGGAUCAUAUGAUAAACUUUAUUUUUAGUUUUAAGGAAUCUUGGUGCUAUUUUCCAUAAUGGCUGCACCAAUUUACAUUCCUACUAAGAAUAUAGAAGGGUUCCCUUUUCUCCACACCCUCUCCAGCAUUUAUUUGCAGGCUUUUUGAUGAUAACUCCACCACCUGAGGCUGCUCUUACUCCCAAGUUCCCUCUCUCAGCUCUGCCUGAAAAUAGACCCAACUGAAACGCCAAAAGAUCCUACCAAGUAGUCUAAUGCUAGCAAGCCCCUGAAUCCUGCCACAUCAAGUCCACUACAAACUGCAGUCACUUGUUCUAGCCAAAUUAUUAUUUCAGAGAAAACUUCUAUUUGUUUUGAUAAUUGUUUCUGUUCUUUGGAAAAAAACAGUUCAAAAGUAGAGUCAGGUGCUACUUUAGGUACAUGAAACAAAUAUUCUAUUUAUUCUAUUUCUGUUCCAUAAUUUUAUGGGUAGAUGGUUGCUACUAUUCAUUCUGGUUGCUUUAGAUACCAUGUCUGUCUUACAUACUCUAACCAGCAUUAGUCCAUGCUCACAUGAGCAUUUAAUAAAGAAGAACCUUAUGGCUACAAGCCUCAUAGUUACCUCAAAUUAAAUACUACAGAGGAGGAAUCACUUUCUCUGAAAUGUAACCAUUAACUAAAAGAAAAAAAAGCCUGGUGUGGUGUGAGUCAUCUAUAAAGCAGGUGAUUUACAAUCCUGCAGUGUGAAGUAGGUGGCCACCUAUAAAGAAAGACUUCAGGGGUUCUCUCUCCAUCCCGAUCAAUGAAAUGUUCCUCCUAUGAGACAAAACUCAACAUUCUACAGUUAAAGUCUGAAAUGCAAAUACACCCAAGUAAGUUGUUUUAAAACUUUAGUCAUUCACAUACUCCUUUCAUGAUUCUUAUAAUAUCUGUGAACAAAUGUUCUAUCAUUAAUACAGUAUUUUCCUCUUAACACAAUUUUGCCAAGAUCAGUUAAUUUUUUGAAAGACCACUUAUAUAAUUACUUUAAAUAUACAAUACCUCUUGUAUAUAGCCAAUAUCACUUGCCAUAAAUAGAAGGAAGCCUAAAAAAAUGAAUGUGACUAACAAAAAUGUGUCCACUUAUAUAUUACAUAAAAUCAUCUCAUGUACCACAUGAAAUAGUGUAAUAAACUGUUGAUUAAAUUCUCACUAAAGAGUAGGAGUUUCCAUUGGGCUCAGCAGGUUAAGAAAUUGACAUAGUAUCAGUGAGGAGGUGGGUUUAAGUCCUACCCUCGCUCAGUGGGUAAAGGAUUCAGCAUUGCCACCAGCUGCGGGGUAGGUACCAGAUAUGUCUCAGAUCUGGUGUUGCUGUGGCUGUGGUGUAGGCCAGCAGCUGCAGCUCCUAUUCGACCACUAGCCCAGGAACUUCCAUAUGCUUCAGAUGAGCCAUAAAAAGAAAAAAUAAAAGAGUAAAUGAGUGAUAUCAGUGCUCUCAAUACCUCUCUAUCUUAUCCCCUCAUUAAAGGAGGAGCAACCACCAAAAAGUAGGAAGGGCAGUGAGAAUCUGAAGGAUCAUGGGUGAAGGCUGGGUGUCACAAGCUAUAAGAAAUAAAGGUAUGAAUGAGCAGACUGUUGUUCUCCCCAAAAUUAUUUAUAUCUGGGGCUGUCCUUGCAUGUCUCAUAAAGGAAGUUCCCUGCACUGUUUGAUAUGAAGGUCCUUUCUCCACACCUAUGCACCAUCUCUUUUAGACAUACACAUCUGAGCUCACAAAUUACCCAUCACAAAGAAAUCACAUGCUGUUAAUAGGUCUCUUCACUGUGGCUCAAAGUACAGAAAAAAUGCCAGUCCC